rnacentral:rRNA from 1 species
AUGAUUAGGCUGGGGUUGAGAUGCAACAGAGGUGCAGACACUCCCAGAACGUUGUUGUAUACUCCGCCACGUCUCCGAUCUUCGUCAGCUCAAGAAGUGGGCACAUGUGCACAUGAUACUCCCUUAUGGACAUCCGUCGAACAGGUAGUAGGCGGGGAGUGGAGUGGUGAUUUUUGUUGUCUGGAUUUCGUUGGUUCUGAUUACCAAAUUGUCACAACCUUGUCAUGGGAUGGAUCGAGAUCACACAAAUUAGCUCAGUGCCUUUGUAGUUUUGGAGUAAUUGGGAGGAAUUUGGGUGAGGAUCCAGAGAAGGAGAAGGGGAACAAGAGAACAGGAGGUGAGAAAGAUUCAGAGUUCAUUCAUGUACAACCCGAGUCCGUUUGGGGUUAG